rnacentral:tRNA from 1 species
GCCUGAGUGGCUCAGUGGUUGAGCAUCUGCCUUCAGCUCAGGUCAUGAUCCUGGGGUCCUGGGAUCGAGUCCCACAUUGGGCU